rnacentral:rRNA from 1 species
UACGGGGGAUGCAAGUGUUAUCCGGAUUUAUUGGGUUUAAAGGGUGCGUAGGCUGUGAGGUAAGUCAGCGGUGAAAUGCCCCCGCUCAACGGGGUGAAGUGCCAUUGAUACUGCCUUGCUGGAAUGCGGAUGCCGUGGGAGGAAUGUGUGGUGUAGCGGUGAAAUGCAUAGAUAUCACACAGAACACCGAUUGCGAAGGCAUCUCACGAAUCCGCUAUUGACGCUGAUGCACGAAAGCGUGGGUAUCAAACAGG